rnacentral:rRNA from 1 species
GAUGCCUACGGGAGGCAGCAGUGAGGAAUAUUGGUCAAUGGUCGGGAGACUGAACCAGCCAAGCCGCGUGAGGGAGGAAGGUACAGAGUAUCGUAAACCUCUUUUGUCAGGGAACAAAGGCGGGGACGUGUCCCCGGAUGAGUGUACCUGAAGAAAAAGCAUCGGCUAACUCCGUGCCAGCAGCCGCGGUAAUACGUAGGGAGCGAGCGUUAUCCGGAAUUAUUGGGUGUAAAGGGUGCGUAGACGGGAAAACAAGUUAGUUGUGAAAUCCCUCGGCUUAACUGAGGAACUGCAACUAAAACUAU